GUAGGUGGCAAGCGUUGUCCGGAAUUAUUGGGCGUAAAGCGCGCGCAGGCGGUUCUUUAAGUCUGAUGUGAAAGCCCACGGCUCAACCGUGGAGGGUCAUUGGAAACUGGAGAACUUGAGUACAGAAGAGGAAAGCGGAAUUCCACGUGUAGCGGUGAAAUGCGUAGAGAUGUGGAGGAACACCAGUGGCGAAGGCGGCUUUCUGGUCUGUAACUGACGCUGAGGCGCGAAAGCGUGGGGAGCAAACAGGGAUUAGAUACCCUGGUAGUCCACGCCGUAAACGAUGAGUGCUAAGUGUUAGGGGGGUUUCCGCCCCCUUAGUUCUGCAGCUAACGCAUUAAGCACUCCGCCUGGGGAUACGGCCGCAAGGCUG
rnacentral:rRNA from 1 species